ACACCAAUAAGCGCCAGGGAACUACGAGCUACGCUUAAAACCCAAAGGAUUUGACGGUGUCCCACCCCCCUAGAGGAGCCUGUUCUAUAAUCGAUGAUCCCCGAUAUACCCCACCACUCCUUGCUAAUCAGUCUGUAUACCUCCGUCGAAAGCUUACCGUGUGAACGCCUACAGUAGGUUCAAGGACCCGCACAGCGAGUCAAUACGGCCGGGCAGGGUGUUACUUAGGGAGUGGAAAGGGAUUGCCUAUUAUUUCCAAUUUAAAACAAACGAAUGAGUAUGUGAAAGCAUAUGAACGAAGGUUUAUUUAGUAAAAAAAAAAAAAUAGAUAGUUUUUUUUAGCCCGGGUCUGGGACGCGCACACCCCGCCCGUCCC
rnacentral:rRNA from 1 species